UAGGUAACCUACCUCAUAGCGGGGGAUAACUAUUGGAAACGAUAGCUAAUACCGCAUAAGAGAGACUAACGCAUGUUAGUAAUUUAAAAGGGGCAAUUGCUCCACUAUGAGAUGGACCUGCGUUGUAUUAGCUAGUUGGUGAGGUAAAGGCUCACCAAGGCGACGAUACAUAGCCGACCUGAGAGGGUGAUCGGCCACACUGGGACUGAGACACGGCCCAG
rnacentral:rRNA from 1 species